UUAUGAUAAUAAGGAUAAUUCCUAAGCAUACCCUUGAAUCUUUCCCAAGCUUGGUAAAGAUUUUCUCUAUCUUUCUGCCAGAAAAACUCAGAAUCUUACUUCUUAAAUA
rfam:Capsicum annuum cultivar Zunla-1 chromosome 9, whole genome shotgun sequence